AGAGAAAAAGAGAAAAAGAGAAAAAGAGAAAAGAGAUCCAUCCUAGUGAGGGCACACACAUUUAUGAAUCACCCUGCCUGUGAAACACUGGGAUGACAGUUGAUAGCUGGGUCAGGAUUGGAAACAAGGUUGGACAGCUGAGUGAGUGUGCAUACUUCUCGGCCAUCUUUCCGUGAUGUUAACAAAACGUUUCAUUUUUUUUAUUUUUCUAUUCCAAAGUGAAUGCACAACAAUGAGGGGCCAACGCAGGUGAGUGGCCCCUAAAAAUUGUUCAUGUCGAUCGAUAUCCAGUAUUCAGUGACAGUGCAAGUAUUGUAGAGCACUCGCCAAGUGCCUUAAGCACUCAAACAAAACAGUUAAUCAGGAACGGCUGGCUUGGAAAGCAAUUGGCAAUCACCGAACCAUCAGUUAAACAAACAUCCCGGAGGUGCCUGAAAUAUAAAACCAAGUCCGAAUUAGACAAAUGAACACCUUUUAUUUUUAGCACUCAGAACUGUUGCAGAGUUCAAAUGUGGAGCUUAAAUAUUGUAAUUUGGCUUCGUUUUAGAGAUUCUCGACGUUAUGGCCUUGAAUCUAUCAAAAAUUCCAGCAAUCUCUGGGUGUCUGUCUGUCUGUCUGUGACCGCCGGUCCGAUCUCAUUGAAACUUGCCAGGAAUAUUGCCAGGGACCCGCGGAUGUGCCUUCGAGGUUUGAUAUCGAUUGGACGAGCGGUUCCCAAGUUACAGCCAUUUAUCUGUCGACCACAGGCCUGGCUUACGACGCCAUGUUCGGGGUGUUGGACGAACGCCAGAGAAAGCAGCCAUUUGCCGGAACAACCGAGCGGAAACAUGAAGCUCUCGCAAAACGUUCCCGGGCAAUUAUCACCUCUUUGUUUAGCCCGAUACGAAGAAGAGCCGGUUAGCGUCCGUAGAGCUGCUGAACGAGAUGUCGAUCGCCGAUGGAAAAAGGUCACGAUGGUAGCUGACCGUAGACGAAAACAAGAGGCAACGAGCACCACCAUCUGCAUCAUCAUCGACGUCGACAGAGUUUUCCGACUGAAAAUGAGCUCCAACCGACCGACCGAUCAUCCAUCCAUGUAUUUUUGUGUGCGUGAUAUUUCCAAAACUGUUCCACAUUAAUCUUUCAUAUUGCAGAUAUAUAUUCCUCAUGGCAUUAUCUCAACCUGAUUAGAUCACGGCUGUGAUUGACUAAAUUAUGUUGCCAUGGCAACCAUCUCGAUGAUUUGCCUUGUGUGUACACGCGAUGCAGUAUUUCAAAAACUGUUCAAGAUUUAGCUUUCAUAUUACACAGAUCUAAUCCUCACCCCACUCAAAAAGGUGGAGGAUUGGGGGGGGGGGCAGAGUAUUAGCUGCUUGAUUCUGUUCAUGUUUUUAGCCACAAUACAAGCUUCUCAGUUCAAACUGAAGUGAACUAUAAGGUGUAAAAUAUAUAAUGUAUGAUCUUGGAAAACACCAAACAUGUUGCAGGAGUGUUGCAACGUUAUAAGGAUAUAUAAAACAUUGAGUCUGCAGAUGUAACUUGAACAAGGUUGAAAGGAUGGAUGGGUGUGGAAUGAUGAAAAAAAAACAUAAAACGGGCAAAUACUUUAUCUUGAGGAACAAAAAGAGGAGAAGCCUUUCUAUAAAGACUAAAAAGCAUGAAGAAGAAGUAAACCUAUUCUGAUCUCCUUUGAUAGGAUUAAACUUCAUGGUGUGAGUGGUAAACGGUUUAAUCAAAAUAAUAAAGCAAGACCAUAAUUAUUGCUAAAUAAGCCAAUUUUUGUAUUCCAAACAGAUCACACAGAUGAUCUCUUCAAGACAAAAAUGCAAGGGUUGAUUCUUAUUAAAAAUAAAUAACUUUCAUGUUUCCAUGACUGGUGGGACCUGCAUCUGAACGUCACCUUUCAAGGAGAGCAUGCUCCAUGCUCUGGUACCCUCUACUCUCACUGGAACAAACUUUGGAUUAUCAGACUUCAUUCCUUCCUUCCUUCCUUCCAUAUGAGUGCUGCUUCAUCAUGAUGAAGAUCACGGCACUGUGGUUGCAGGCAUGGAACAGCACUGAUACAACCAUUUAUACCAGUACAUUGGUAUUCAUUUUGCCCACCUUGGAAGGAUGACAGGCUGAGUCAACCCCACCUGUUGUUAAUUCAGUGGCAAACGGGGCUCAAACUCAGGACCCUAACAUCCCAAGCCAGCCACCCUAACCACUAAGCCAACACCGAAUGACAGUAUUCCUCGGGCUGGCAGGAUGGCCUAGUCUCCUGGAGGUACGCACACUCGCCUCUAAGCAGUCUAGCUGGGUUUGAAUCCUGGCCUGGCUAUAAACUGUCAUCCCAGUGUUUCACAGGUAGCGUGAAUCAUCAAUAUGUGUGUACCAUCCUUUGGAUGGAGGUUAAACAGACAUCCCGUCUGCCGGCAUUAGUUAGUGAAUGUUUAAGACCCCAUGGUAUUGUUGUAGAAUUUUGUUGUUAACCGUUUUAACCGACUCGGGGGGGGGGGGGGGGGGGGGGGGGGGGGGGGGGGGGGGGGGGGGGGGGGGGGGGGGGGGGGGGGGGGGG
ensembl:lincRNA